CAUAUGCUUGUCUCAAAGACUAAGCCUGCAUGUACAAGUUAAGCCAGAUAAUAGUGAAACCGCGAAUGGCUCAUUAAAUCAGAUAUAAUCUCAACAAUUGUCAGAGUAUACAAGGAUAACUGCGGUAACCCUGCAGCUAAUACUUGGGGAUAUCAUUUCGGGCUCCAUGCUUCGGCGGGAUGACCUGAUUUAACUUAUAUUAGAGGUCCCAUGACGGUAGUACGGCGUUCGCCGGCUCUCCGCGUGUAGAUUUCUGAAUAUCUGAAGGAUCGGAAUACAUGUUCCGACGAAUUGUUUGAGUAUCUGACCUAUCACCUAUGGUCGGUAGUGUAACGGACUACCGAGGGUGUAACGGGUAACGGGGAAUCAGGGUUCGAUUCCGGAGAGGGAGCCUGAGAAACGGCUACCACAUCCACGGAAGGCAGCAGGCGCGCAAAUUACCCAAUGUCGGUACGACGAGGUAGUGACGAGAAAUUACAAUAUGAGCCCUAUAUGGGUUUGUGAUUGGAAUGAGAGAAAUUUAACUACUUUCAUCGAAAGCAAGUGGAGGGCAAGUCUGGUGCCAGCAGCCGCGGUAAUACCAGCUCCACAAGCGUACGCAAAAGUUGCUGCGUUUAAAAAGCUCGUAGUUGGAUCUGUUUCGGAUGUGGCGUUAAACGGUUGCACUCCUUGUGGGUGGCCGGUUGCAUCCCGAUCUUCCCGUAAAUGGUAGUUACACUUAAUUGUGCUGAUUAUUAUGAGCGAUUUAUUUCAAUCUGAAUAAAUCAGAGUGUUCAAAGCGACCUUUGGGAUUGAAUGAUAAAGCAUGUGAUAAAGGAGGAAGACCCGUGACAAUAUGCGUUAUAUGUGGUUUGCAUGUCAUGGUAAUGAUUAAAAGGAACAGUCGGGGGCAUUUGUAUUGCUACGUUAGAGGUAAAUUCUUGGAUCGUGGCAAGACAAACUAUUUUCAUUAAUCAAGAACGAAAGUUAGAGUAUUGAAGAGGAUUAGAUACCCUCGUAAUUCUAACCAUAAACGAUACCUACUUACGAUUUGUCAAAGUUCUCUUUUGCAGACUUGACAAGGAGUUACCCGGGAAACCAAAGUUAAUUGGCUACGGGGGAAGUAUGGUUGCAAAAUCGAAACUUAAAGGAAUUGACGGAAGGGCACCACCAGGAGUGGAGCCUGCGGCUUAAUUUGACUCAACACGGGGAAACUCACCAGGUCCAGACAUAAUAAGGAUUGACAGACUAAUGAUCUUUCAUGAUUCUAUGGGUGGUGGUGCAUGGCCGUUCUUAGUUAGUGGAGUGAUCUGUCUGGUUAAUUCCGAUAACGAACGAGAUCCAAACCAUCUAACUAGUGCAACCAACUUAUUAAUGUUGGUAAAUGUGCUUCUUAGAGGGACUACCUGAAAUAUAAUAUCAGGGGGAAGUUGGGCUAUAACAGGUCUGUGAUGCCCUUAGAUGUCCUGGGCUGCACGCGCGCUACACUGAAUGUGACAGAGUGAAGCUAGAACCUUGUGCGAAAUGCACUGGGUAAACACUAAACGCACUUCGUGCUUGGGAUAGAUUGUUGUAAUUAGUGGUCUUGAACGAGGAAUUCCUAGUAAGUAUUGGUCAACAACCAGUACUGAUUACGUCCCUGCCCUUUGUACACACCGCCCGUCGCUACUACUGAUUGGAUGUUCAAGNGAGGUCCNUGAACUGCUAACAUCGAGUCGCAAGACUAUGUUUCGUUCGAAAGAAGAGGAUCGAGCUGGAUAUCUANAGGAAGUAAAAGUCGAC
rnacentral:rRNA from 1 species